CACCUGGAAGGCAACAAGAGGAGAAGUCCACGCCCUCAUUAGGGUCUUUCUGGAACCUGUUCCCACUCACUUCCCAGGAAUCGGCUCCGCGGUCACCCUCCUCCAAGAAGCCUUCCCUGAUUCGCACCUGCCAGCUGCGGGAGCCGCCCCUCCUCUGGUGCUGACUCACCGGGGACUCACGUCUGGCAUCACCCUUAUCACAGGUGUUCCUGGAAAAUCAGGAGCUGUGGCACCAGCCACCACCCCCACCCACACCUGCCGGAGCACCACCUCCAGGCAGGCAGUCAGGCACCUGGCUGCAGGCCCGCCCAGCGUGGCAGCUCACACCCUCCGUCCCUCGAAUAGGCUGACCUCCAAGCCUAUCUGCUCCGUCGGCGGUCAUCACAGCCCCCAGCUGCAGCGCACACACACCCCUGAGGAGAGGGCGGGUCUCGGGCAUCCCCCGUUCCUGACAAUAAAUGCUCAAUAAAUAUUAACCGUCCUGGCA